AUUGAACGCUGGCGGCAUGCCUUACACAUGCAAGUCGAACGGCAGCGCGGUCUUUGGUCUGGCGUCGAGUGGCGAACGGGUGAGUAAUACAUCGGAACGUCCCCUGCUGUGGGGGAUAACUAGUCGAAAGAUUAGCUAAUACCGCCUACGACCUGAUGGUGCAAGUGGGGGACCGGAAACGGCCUCAUGCAGCAGGAGCGGCCGAUGUCUGAUUAGCUAGUUGGUGGGGUAAAGGCCCACUAAGGCGACGAGCAGUAGCUGGUCUAAGAGGACGAUCAGCCACACUAGGACUGCGACGCGGACCAGACUCCUACGAGAGGCAGCAGUGGGGAAUGUUGGAAAAUGGUGGCAAACCUGAUCCAGCAAUGCCGCGUGUGACAAGAAGGCCUUCCGGUUGUGAAGAACUAAUGUCCGGAGAGAAAUCGCGCAGGUUAAUACCUAGCGUGGAUGACGGUACCGGAAGAAUAAGCACCGGCUAACUACGUG
rnacentral:rRNA from 1 species